ACAUCACUUACAUAGAGAAUACACCCCACCAUGUCUCUGACCAUCCUCUUCCUCACACUGAUUUUAUCUUGUUCUGGUUCUGUGGCUCAGUUUACUGUCACUCAGGAUGCUGCCAUGUCUGGGUCUCCUGGUGAAAGUGCCCGUUUGACCUGUAGUCGGAGUGGAGGAUCAGUAACUGGGGAUAACUACCCCUCGUGGUACCUACAGACACCUGGAAGUGUCCCCAAACUGAUAGUUUACAGUAGCAGUAGCAGCAACCAGAAUAACAGACCCUCUGGAAUAUCAGAUCGGUUCUCAGCCCAAAUAUCAGGAGGAUCGGCCGUUCUGUCCAUCAGUAGAUUGCAGACGGAGGAUGAAGGAGUUUUUCACUGUGCUCUUUUUACUGUGGUCUCUGGUGCUAGCAUGUUUGUUUUUGGAGAUGGAACCCAGGUCAUCGUCAACACCGGUGAAGUGAAGGCACCAGUUGUGUUUUUCUUUGGUCCAUCUAAAGAAGAGUUAGAGAAAGAGACAGCCACCUUAGUCUGUACUGCCAGUGAAUACAAGCCAAGGACCGCAACAAUGGAGUUUCUGGUGGAUGGUCAAACUUGGGAGAAUGGGGUCUCCACAUCACCAAUCACCAUACAGAGUGACAGUUCAUACAUGGGAAGCAGUUUUCUCACCAUGACCUCAUCUGAUUAUUCUAAAUAUAAGGAAUAUGGCUGCAAAGUGACGCAUCAGGGCAAAGAGUUUAUCCAGACACUGAAGAGAUCAGAGUGUUUCUAAUAUUUAGCUAAUCUCUUUGUAUCACCAAGUAGUAGAGUCAGUUCUUUAAUAUGAAUGAAUACAAUGUGAAAGAUAAAUGUUUCUUUCUCCUUUAUGCUUGGCUUUCAAAUCCCUUAGAUGUUCCAUUUGCAAUGUGAAAUGCAUGGAUUAUGUAAUGUUUCUUUUGUUUGCCCCAUGAAGCAAUCAAUAAAAGACUAUAUAUGUGUUUAUGAAA